GGGAACUUAACUCAGUGGUAGAGUGCUCGCUUCGCAUGCGAGAAGCCGCGAGUUCAAUCCUCGCAGUUUCCA
rnacentral:tRNA from 1 species